CUCUUCGGAGCUAGUGGCGGACGGGUGAGUAACACGUGGGAACGUGCCUUUAGGUUCGGAAUAAGCCCGGGAAACUGGGUCUAAUACCGGAUGUGCCCUUCGGGGGAAAGAUUUAUCGCCUUUAGAGCGGCCCGCGUCUGAUUAGCUAGUUGGUGGUGUAAUGGACCACCAAGGCGACGAUCAGUAGCUGGUCUGAGAGGAUGACCAGCCACAUUGGGACUGAGACACGGCCCAAACUCCUACGGGAGGCAGCAGUGGGGAAUCUUGCGCAAUGGGCGAAAGCCUGACGCAGCCAUGCCGCGUGUAUGAUGAAGGUCUUAGGAUUGUAAAAUACUUUCACCGGUGAAGA
rnacentral:rRNA from 1 species